AGGAUGGAUAAAAAUAGCUGGGCAAUUUUUCCUCCACACCCUAAGCUUCUGUCCACCCAACAGUAAUGGGUAGUUGUGACACCGUUUCCUGGUAAGGUAAGCUGUGGUAGCCCCGAUGUCACAGUAGCCCUGUGUUCCGAGGUGUUGGAUUCAAUCCACCACAGGCUCAAAGGCCAAUGAGAAGGGAGAUGAGCGCUCGUGGCUACGUACGCACUGCAACAGCGCAUGCCCCCAACUUUACCUUUACUAGGAUAUGACUAAUAUCAGAAUCUAUCCAUUUUUUUUACACAUUUUGUAGCAUGCUAACGUACUUGCAAUUUCACCAAUGUACUCCACGCUUGCAGAUAUUCUACCACCAAGCGGAGCGGGAUCGCUUCUCAGAGAGAAGGAAAUUCCAAGGACCACGUACUGUAAACGGGUGACACACUAGGAAAUUUUGGGAGUUUACUUCAGAAUGCCAGUUUUCCGUAUUUGGUGUGCUGAUCGCAUCAUAAGGAAAUCGGUUGUGUCAGUAGCAGAAAUUGAAGAACUAAAGAAAAAAAGCAACACAAAAACUCGGUUUGGAGUUGGUAGGACCUACGAAGUUAGUUCUAGCGAAAUGUGGUACAGAAGUGGACGACGAUGAGGUGUUGGAAGAAAUUGCUGAUGAAGUCUUACUAUUGUUGGCUGAUGGAGAAACUUAUACACCAUCUGUAGCUCAGCAAAUACCUGACUCUACUCGAAGUUUGGUAACAUGUACUACAGGCGAUGUACUUCAACCCAGCAGGAGUGCAAGUGACAACGAAAAGGCAAGCACAAGUUCAAGUGAGACAGAGGCAUAUGCCAGUCACAAAUCAUGUAACACAUUAUCAUUGCCUCUGCCAGAACUCUCACGGGCAACCCGAGAUGACUUACAACAGGGAGAUAAAUCAAGACGGGUCUUGUUGCAGCUGAUAGAAGAAUCCAAGAACUACUACAUGAAGUAUUGCCCUCUGCUUGAUGAAAACCCUUAAGCUAAGGUUACACUAGCCACUGCUACCCCUGGGCCCAGCCUUGGGCCUGGGACGGAGGCCAGCCUUAUGCCUGGAUUUACAAGGCAAGUGGUUACACACAGCCCAGCCCCAGUCCUGGGCACUCUUGAUCUUGAUUUUGAUACUUGGUGCGCCGAUCUAAACAAAGCGCAUCAGACCUCAAGAUGGCUUUUCUAGGAGACUAUAUAUGGCCUCUUGUGGCCACGCAAUGGACUUUUCAACAGAAGCCAUGUUUAAAACCUUGCCCUGCAGCGUGUGUUUGUUUACAUCUGAGGAUUUCCCAGGUCAAGCGAGGGAUGAUGUUUUCUAAUAAUUUGUGUGCAGCUAAUUAUAACUAAUCAUGCAUGAAAAUAAAUAAAUUGCAUAUAUAGUGAUAUAAUAUCUAGAUAUUUUAUUAUUUAGGAAAAUUUGGGUUUAGUUGUUUGCGUGAAUAAUAUAGUCUCUUAGUUUCUUGUGGUGUGCCCAGGCCUAGAGCUGGGGAGAAAACGGUCUGGCGCGUCCACUCAACUUUGCCCUGGGCUGGGCGAUUUAGCCAGGGCUGGGCGCCCAGCCCCGGCUAAAUCGCCCAGCCCAGGGGUAUCAGU